rnacentral:lncRNA from 1 species
ACCGCAUACAAGAGAACAGGAUUCGAGAAGAACAGAAAGCAAAUUCAUCAAAAUCCAAGGUAUCCGUAACUGAACCGAGGCAGAAACGCGAAGGAAGGAGAAGUGAACGGAGUCGAAACAACAUAACCAAGGGGUUAAAGCUCAGAUCCGCUUCAAAAGGUAAAAAGAGGUAAAAAAAUCCGUUUCUAUUUGUGUAGAUCUAGGACGAUUCAAGCUUGUUUUCAAAAUUCUGUUUGUGGAUUUGAACUUAGGAA